GGUGACGCAAUGAGAUCGCCAGCUCACGUGACCAACGCGCAAAGCAUCCUGGGAAAUACUUUCAGCGGCGCGAAGCAGACGAAGGUGCGUCUCCAGACACUGCCUCAUCGGGGGAGUGUUGUCGUCUAUUGGGACCAGGAGGAAGGCAGCCCCUUGCCGAGUUGUGUAACUGCGGUACAACAGCCAGGGCCAGCUCCUUCUGCUGACGCUCAAAGUCUUCUUUGCCCUGCAAGAUGAGCACCAGUGGGUGACAGGAAAAGGUUUGUAGGUGUCGCCGUCUGAGGAUGGCGAGGUGAGUGGGUGACUCAUGUUCUCAUCAGGCGUGCUGCUGCUGGAGUAGGACCCCUCAGUCUGUGUGCGCCUGAACAGCAGCUCUGCACUGUUCCCUAUCGUGGACGCCAGCUGCUUGGCGUCGUCCGGCACGGUCCUGGACACCAUGACGAAGCGGUCCAGCUCGUCGCUCUUGUUGUGAUGCUUGGCGGCGGCCAACGUGUUCAAUGCCCAGCAGCUGUUCUCCAGGACCUGGUAGAUCUGCAGGAGGAUCUGCUGCGAGUCCUCCAGGCGGCCCAGCUGCCGUCUCAUCUUGCUGUGCAGGGUGGAGUCGGAGAGGGCGGUGGCGUUCGCCGCGGCUCCUCUUCCGAAGACGACAAAGUCCCCCACGCUCGCCCGGAUCUUGUCCAACACCGUGCGGACGUCGUUGGCGUGGCGCUCCAUGAAGGGGAAAGUCCUCCAGUGGGGGGAGGCCGCCAUAGUGUGCAAAGCCCCCACUGACACGUCCACAGCCUGCUGCAGACGCUGCAACCUCUGCACAGCUGUGUCCACGUCCACAGCCAGCCGUCCCUCGGCGGAGCCCGCGGACGAGGAGGAAGUGGACAUGCUGCUGCGCGUGCUUCCUGUGCUGGAGAAGGACAGGCGGUUGACACCGUCUGUCACGUCGGCCACAGCGCGGGAAUCCGGAGCGGGGAUGUCGUACACGCCUUUGUCUCGGGCGGACGCCACACCUCUGUGCUGGGGCAGCUGUAUGCCCCGCGGCACAUCGUACACAUCGCUCUGAGAGCCCGCCCCCCCUAAGAGGAGGGCGCUGGGCGGUACAUCGUAGAUUCCCUCGUCCGUGCUGUUCUGCGCUGGGUGAUGGCCCGACGGCUCCAUGCUGGGGGGGAAAUCGUAAUGCGACUGAGGGUUCUGGGCAGGUUUGCUGAGGGCGGGCGGUGGCACGUCAUAGAUGCCUUCCUGCAGCUGCUUCAAGGGCUGAGGGAAGUCAUAAGUGCCCUCCUGCUGGGUAGGACUUGCUCUGCAGGGCGGCACCGAGUAGACCUGUUGGCACACAAGGACGUCAACGCCAGCUCAAAUACUUCAGCAUGUCAAUGACAAUACAACAUUUGUCAAAACUAUUAUUCAUCCAUCCAUCCAUUUUCUACCGCUUAUUCCCUUUUGGGGUCGCGGGGGGCGCUGGCGCCUAUCUCAGCUACAAUCGGGCGGAAGGCGGGGUACACCCUGGACAAGUCGCCACCUCAUCGCAGGGCCAACACAGAUAGACAGACAACAUUCACACUCACAUUCACACACUAGGGCCAAUUAAGUGUUGCCAAUCAACCUAUCCCCAGGUGCAUGUCUUUGGAAGUGGGAGGAAGCCGGAGUACCCGGAGGGAACCCACGCAUUCAUCUGCUUGCUAAUUUACUGUUAAUACGUCAUCUCCUCUUGUUUGGAUACUCCACAUUAGUUUUGGCCAAUGCUACAACUGUGUUGUUCACACUAAAGCUAACAAGUAAUACAUUUCAUCAGACGACCACAGUUCUAAUUAGACAACACAGGAUGUACUCAUUAAAUAUUACAAUUCAUUUACUGCUAUUGACUCUAGAAUUGUACAAUGUAACACCUUUGGAAAAUACUGGUACUUGUUUUUUCAUGCAACUUAUGAUGUAACACAGAGCUCUUGCAAGCAGAAACAGUGUGGAAGAGAAAGGGAGAAUGGAUGGAGAAUUUUGGCUUCAAAACUGACGUUAAAGGUGGAGCUAAAAACACUGAAGAGUGGCUUUAAAACAUAGCUAACUAGCGGCUAAUGUUUGCCUCCAUGGUGACAAAGUACAUUUCUUACAAGUAUUAUCCCUGCAGGACCAGGAACAGCUAAACAUGCUUCAUGACACACUGUCACGCCAGAUUUAUUCCCCCCAUUUACUUCCGGGGUCAUGAUUAAUACAGAUGUUUUGUUAACGCUAUAUUAUAAAAAUAUAACGCCAUAUUAUAAAAAUACAGACAUUUUGUUAACGCUAUAUUAUUAAAAUAUAACGCCAUAUUAGAAAAUACAGACAUUUUGUUAACGCUAUAUUAUUAAAAAACAAUUUACAAACAAGCUAUGGGAUGACACAUUUACUUCCGGGGUCACGUUUCCUCUGUCAUCCCAUAGCUUGUGUUUGUAAAUUGUUUUUUAAUUUUUUUUUAUAAUAUAGCGUUAACAAAACGUCUGUAUUUUUAUAAUAUAGCGUUAUAUUUUUUAUAAUAUAGCGUUAACAAAACAUCUGUAUUAAUCAUGACCCCGGAAGUAAAUGGGGGGGGGGGAGAAAUUUGGUGUGACAACACCAUAUAUGAUACAGUAGCUCACUGCUAACAGCCAGCUAGCACUCCUGAAUGUAAACAAAUAAGUGGAUCUAUACAAAUAUCGACUGUAACAAUACAAGUACAGUAGUUGAUACUACAAUGAUUACAUCGAUUGAAAAAAAAAAAAUGUUUAUAAACUCAGGAAAUAUGUCCCUGGACACAGGAGGACUUAAACGAUGACUAAUGUAUGAUCCUGUAACUACUUGGUAUCGAAUCCAUACCCACAUUUGUAGUAUCGGCCAAAACUAAUGUAAAGUGUCCUAACAGGAGAAUAAAUGUUAAAUACAUAAGCAGAUAUUAACAGUUAAUAAACAAACAGAUAAAGAAUGUUCCUUUAAUGCCAACAUUGUGAUUUUAAUUGCAAUAAGAACAUGUCCGGUAUUUAGGACUUUUUGUUCAAAUAAAGCCAGUAAUUCAC